rnacentral:lncRNA from 10 species
AUGAUUAGUGACGUUGAGCAUUUUUUCAUAUAGCUGUUGGUCAUCUGUAUGUCUUUUGAGAAACUUCUAUUCAGAGACUUUCCCACUUUUUAAUGAGAUUAUUUGUUUGUUUGUUGUCUGAAUUUCUUGUAUAUUGUGGAUAUUAGUCCCUUGUUAGAUGAAUAGUUUGCAAGUAUUUUCUCCAAUUCUAUAGGCUGUCUCUUCACUCUUGUUUCCUUUGUUAUACAGAAGCUUUUGUUUAAUAUAGUUCCAUUUGUCUAUUUUGUUUUUGUUGCCUGUGCUUUUGAAGUCUUAGCCAUAAAAUCUUUGCCUAGACCAACGUGCUGAAUAAUUUCCCCUGCCUGUUUUGAGAAAUCAUCAUGUAUAAUCUUUUGAUUUUGAACAUUUUUCUGUUCUUUUUCUCGAACUACCAUUAAUCAGAUGUGAACAUCCUAGAUGCUGAGCUAUGAUUCACUAAGUUUGUAUGUUUCUAUAUAUGAAAUAUUAACUUCAUUUAUAAACUAAACACAGUGAAUCUGAGGAAUCUGAGCAGUGACUCUUUAUAUACCAAUCUAUAUCUUUUUAUAAGACUGCUGGUGAAGACAGUCAAAUCUACCAUCUAUUAGUGGUAGAAGUAACUUCUUUCAGUGAGGGAUUAAAAUUUCUAACUAUUAUUUUUAAAUUGUACUUAAUAGUUAUUGCAGACUUUCAAAAACAGUAAUAGAAGUUCAUGUG